rnacentral:miRNA from 3 species
UGUCAGUUUGUCAAAUAUACAA